UCCAUCUCCGCCAUCUCCCCCGUCUCCCCUCCCGUCCACCCCCACCCCUCCUCCGCCAGCCGCGUCCUCCCGGGCUCGGUGAGGAACUGUUCCUGGAGGAGCCGCGGGACGCCGAAACCAGCCAAUGGGAAGCAGGGAGACGCGGAGAUUGGCACUGUAGAUGGGAAGUGGGUUCCUGGCUCAUCUGUUGAUGCAGUGCCAGAAGUGAGCUGCAGAACAGGAGUUACUGGAGAUGACAGUGACCGUGAGUCCUGAAGGAGGAAUAUUGAUCUCAGCGUUACUUUGACCAUUAAUGAAUUAUGAUGGCAAUAAGCAGAGACGCACACCUCCAGCCUCCUGGGAGCUUAAUCUUCUGCUACAGCGUUUGCAUUUCAACCUACAAAGAAAGCUCCAAAGAAAGACGAGCUUGUGAACUGACUGAACUGCAAGCAGAAGAAUCCUGUUUGUAGUCCUCGAUGUCAAGAAUGUGUUUACACCGUGGCCUAAUGCUCUGAACCUUUGUGUGUGAGUUCAGGGAUUCAGGACAUAUGAAGGCCACCACGUAGUGGCGUGUGACAGGUCUGAAGCUCCCCAGUAGAAGCACUUGGGCUAAACGUGCCAUAAGACUUCAGUCAACACCAGCCCCCAAAGUCACUGAACUCCGUGACAUCAUGCCCAGGCAGGAAGAGUCAAUAGGCCUCUGGCACGUCCUCCGGUUCCUAACCCAUGGACAAUAUUUAGAAAGCAGCGCUGGGCUCAGGCAGCCCUCUCAAUUACUUUGGCGGGAACCUUCCAGAGUACAUUUUGCUACCUCUUUGUGAUGUAAACAGGGGGGCUCACAGUUGCCAGGGGAUGUUCUUUCUGUUUUAAUUAUGCAAGGCAUAAUUAUAGUUCCAGGGUCUGGAAGCAGCAGAGAGUUCUUUGGAGAACUUCACAGGGAUUUUUCUGUUAUGACAUAGUUUUAUCUGGAAAAAAAAAAGUAAGGCAAAAGUCAUUUCCAAAGAGGAAAAAAUAACACUAUUCAUGCUAGUGUUCCAUUCCAUAUUGAGUAGAUCACGAAAUUGGAGUAGACAUUUUUUGGGAACGGGGGUGUCUGAAAGUGUUGAACUCAUAUAAUGGUGGGAAAAUCUGGAUAAAUACUGAUGAAUGGAUGUGGAUGGAGAAGGAUAUAAAAAUAAAUGUUUUUAUUUAGGAAAGCAAUAAUGAAGCAUCCAGCCGUAUCUGAGUGAAUUUGUUAGUACCCUGCGCCCUGGGGAUACGGAAAAAGAUUUCACCAUAGUAAUAGUAAUCUGGCCUGAACCUGAGUCAUAAAAUUCCUCCUGCCCCCAGAUGUUCAGUUAGAGGGCACUUUGUUACUCUGCUGAUGUAGCGAGAAAUCGCAGAACUGCCAGGGUAAUGGAGAGAACAGUGACAGGUGGAGCGCUAAGGCUGUUUCUCUGUUAUGAAACAUGUUUUUAUGGGUAAUUCUGAUGUACGGUAGGUAUUAAAUAGAGCACCUGAGAGAUGUUUUAUUUCAGAUUAAUGCUAGAGUGAUAUUUUCCCCAUGGCACUAAUAAUCCGGCAGCUUUCACAAGCCCGUUUUGCCUCGCAGUUCCUCACAAGCUCUGUCUGUUGUGGCAUAAGGGUGAGCGCUUGAAUCAAAAUUUCUGCCUUACAGGGCUUCCCUGGUGGCGCAGUGGU